GAGUUUGAUCGUGGCUCAGAACGAACGCUGGCGGCAUGCCUAACACAUGCAAGUCGAACGAACUCUUCGGAGUUAGUGGCGCACGGGUGCGUAACGCGUGGGAAUCUGCCCUUGGGUACGGAAUAACUCAGAGAAAUUUGUGCUAAUACCGUAUAAUGACUUCGGUCCAAAGAUUUAUCGCCCAAGGAUGAGCCCGCGUAAGAUUAGCUAGUUGGUGGGUAAAGGCCUACCAAGGCUACGAUCUUUAGCUGGUCUGAGAGGAUGGUCAGCCACACUGGGACUGAGACACGGCCCAGACUCCUACGGGAGGCAGCAGUGGGGAAUAUUGGACAAUGGGCGAAAGCCUGAUCCAGCAAUGCCGCGUGAGUGAUGAAGGCCUUAGGGUUGUAAAGCUCUUUUACCCGGGAUGAUAAUGACAGUACCGGGAGAAUAAGCUCCGGCUAACUCCGUGCCAGCCGCCGCCGU
rnacentral:rRNA from 1 species